AGGACUGGCGCGUGUAUUAGGCAUGCAGUCGAACGAGUGUUCAUUUGUAGCAAUACCGAUGGACAAGAGUGGCGAAAGGGCGCGUAACGCGUAGGUAAUCUGCCUCUAAGAUUGGGAUAACCCAGAGAAAUCUGGACUAAUACUGAAUGUGGUGGUUUGUCGCAUGACAGACUUACUAAAGGGUGGGGAUUCUUCGGAACCUGUCACUUGGAGGGGAACCUGCGUCCCAUCAGCUAGUUGGUAGGGUAAAGGCCUACCAAGGCUUACGGGUAGCUGGUCUGAGAGGAUGGUCAGCCGCACUGGGACUGAGACACUGCCCAGACUCCUACGGGAGGCUGCAGUCGAGGAUCUUUUGCAAUGGGCGCAAGCCUGACAAAGCGACGCUGCGUGGAGGAUGAAGGCCUUCGGGUUGUGAACUCCUGUCAUUCGGGAACAAUAUUUUGGCGUUAAUACCGUCAAAAGGUGAUGGUACCGGAAGAGGAAGCCACGGCUAACUCUGUGCCAGCAGCCGCGGUAAUACAGAGGUGGCGAGCGUUGUUCGGAUUUACUGGGCGUAAAGGGUGCGUAGGUGGUUUUGUGUGUCGGAUGUGAAAUCCUACUGCUUAACGGUAGAACUGCAUUCGAAACUGCAAGGCUUGAGUACAGGAGAGGGGAGCGGAAUUCUUGGUGUAGCGGUGAAAUGCGUUGAUAUCAAGAAGAACACCGGUGGCGAAGGCGGCUCCCUGGAAUGUUACUGACACUGAGGCACGAGAGCUAGGGGAGCAAACAGAAUUAGAUACUCUGGUAGUCCUAGCCGUAAACGGUGUACACUUGAUGUAGAGGGCGUUAUACCCCUCUGUGUCGGAGCUAACGUGUUAAGUGUACCGCCUGGGGAGUACGGUCGCAAGAUUAAAACUCAAAGAAAUUGACGGGGGCCCGCACAAGCGGAGGAGCAUGUGGCUUAAUUCGAUGCAACGCGAAGAACCUUACCAGGGCUUGACAUGUAACUGGAUGCCCCGGGAAACCGGGGAGGCUUUCGAGGCUGUUACACAGGUGCUGCAUGGCUGUCGUCAGUUCGUGCCGUGAGUGUUUGGUUAAGUCAGCACGACGCACCCCUGUGUCUAGUUGCACUACAGGCUCAAACCUGUAGCCCCUCUUAGACAGACUGCUCGUUUACACC
rnacentral:rRNA from 1 species